CGCGCUGUCGGAUUAUUGGGCGUAAAGCGAGCGCAGGCGGUUCUUAAGUCUGAUGUGAAAGCCCCCGGCUCAACCGGGGAGGGUCAUUGGAAACUGGGAGACUUGAGUGCAGAAGAGGAGAGUGGAAUUCCAUGUGUAGCGGUGAAAUGCGUAGAUAUAUGGAGGAACACCAGUGGCGAAGGCGGCUCUCUGGUCUGUAACUGACGCUGAGGCUCGAAAGCGUGGGGGAGCAAACAGGAUUAGAUACCCUGGUAGUCCACGCCGUAAACGAUGAGUGCUAAGUGUUGGAGGGUUUCCGCCCUUCAGUGCUGCAGCUAACGCAUUAAGCACUCCGCCUGGGGAGUACGACCGCAAGGUUGAAACUCAAAGGAAUUGACGGGGGCCCGCACAAGCGGUGGAACAUGUGGUUUAAUUCGAAGCACGGGAAGGAACCUUACCAGGUCUUGACAUCCUUUGACACUCAGAGAUAGAACUUCCCCUUCGGGGCAAAGUGACAGGUGGUGCAUGGUUGUCGUCAGCUCGUGUGGGAGAUGUUGGGUUAGUCCCGCAACGGGCCAACCCUUAUUUGUUAGUUGCAUCAUUCAGGUGGGACUCUAGCAAGACUGGCGGGGAAAACCGAAGAAGUGGGGAUGACGUCAAAUCAUCUUCCCCUUAUGACCUGGGCUCACACGUGCUAAAUGGGAGUACAACGGGUGCGAAGUCCGAGAUAACUAUCUCUAAGCUUCUCUCAGUCGGAUGAGGCUGCACUCGCUGAUGAAGCCGGAUCGCUAGUAUCACGAUCACACGCGGUGAUCGUUCCGGUUAUA
rnacentral:rRNA from 1 species